UGGGGAAUUUUGGACAAUGGGCGAAAGCCUGAUCCAGCAAUGCCGCGUGCAGGAUGAAGGCCUUCGGGUUGUAAACUGCUUUUGUACGGAACGAAAAAGCUUCUCCUAAUACGAGAGGCCCAUGACGGUACCGUAAGAAUAAGCACCGGCUAACUACGUGCCAGCAGCCGCGGUAAUACGUAGGGUGCGAGCGUUAAUCGGAAUUACUGGGCGUAAAGCGUGCGCAGGCGGUUAUGUAAGACAGAUGUGAAAUCCCCGGGCUCAACCUGGGAACUGCAUUUUGUGACUGCAUGGCUAGAGUACGGGUAGAGGGGGAUGGAAUUCCGCGUNUAGCAGUGAAAAUGCGUAGAUAUGCGGAGGAACACCGAUGGCGAAGGCAAUCCCCUGGACCUGUACUGACGCUCAUGCACGAAAGCGUGGGGAGCAAAC
rnacentral:rRNA from 1 species